rnacentral:rRNA from 1 species
UACGUAGGGUGCAAGCGUUGUCCGGAAUUAUUGGGCGUAAAGAGCUCGUAGGCGGUUUGUCGCGUCGAAUGUGAAAACCCGGGGCUCAACCCCGGGCCUGCAUUCGAUACGGGCAGACUAGAGUUCGGUAGGGGAGUCUGGAAUUCCUGGUGUAGCGGUGAAAUGCGCAGAUAUCAGGAGGAACACCGGUGGCGAAGGCGGGACUCUGGGCCGAUACUGACGCUGAGGAGUGAAAGCGUGGGGAGCAAACAGG